AACGAACGCUGGCGGCAGGCUUAACACAUGCAAGUCGAACGCUCGUAGCAAUAUGGGAGUGGCGGACGGGUGAGUAACGCGUGGGAACGUGCCCUGAGGUACGGAAUAACUGCGGGAAACUGCAGCUAAUACCGUAUGAGCCCCGUGAGGGGAAAGGAUUUAUCGCCUUAGGAGCGGCCCGCGUCGGAUUAGCUAGUUGGUGGGGUAACGGGCUUACCAAGGCUUCGAUCCGUAGCUGGUCUGAGAGGACGAUCAGCCACACUGGGACUGAGACACGGCCCAGACUCCUACGGGAGGCAGCAGUGGGGAAUCUUGCGCAAUGGGGGCGAACCCUGACGCAGCCAUGCCGCGUGAAUGAUGAAGGCCUUAGGGUUGUAAAGUUCUUUUGCCCGUGACGAUGAUGACGGUAACGGGAGAAUAAGCUCCGGCUAACUUCGUG
rnacentral:rRNA from 1 species